UGAAAGAUCAUUGAAAACUGUAGAGUAACUUCUUUGACAAAAAGGAGGUUACUCUACAGUUUUCAAUGAUCUUUCA